rnacentral:rRNA from 2 species
GACCAAGGAGUCUAACAUGUGCGCGAGUCAUUGGGACUGCGAAGCCUAAAGGCGCAAUGAAAGUGAAGGUCGCGCCAACCAAGGUCGACCGAGGGAGGAUGGGUCGCGUUUGCGCGCGGCUCCGCACUCCCGGGGCGUCUCGUUCUCAUUGCGAGAAGAGGCGCACCCAGAGCGUACACGUUGGGACCCGAAAGAUGGUGAACUAUGCCUGGUCAGGACGAAGUCAGGGGAAACCCUGAUGGAGGUCCGUAGCGAUUCUGACGUGCAAAUCGAUCGUCGGAACUGGGUAUAGGGGCGAAAGACUAAUCGAACCAUC